rnacentral:rRNA from 1 species
AUGGAUCUUGGACAUGAACUUCGGAUUUACAUUGACAAUGUCCGAGCAGACCAAAGAUUUGCCAAUUUGGAUGGUAUUGCGGAUCUUGCUAAAAAGUUGGUGGAUACUAAGAAGCAUCUUGCUUUCCCUUUGGUGUAUCAACUUCUAAAGCUAGUGCUAAUUUUGCCGGUUGCCACAGCGUCAGUGGAGAGAUGCUUUUCAGCAAUGAAUAUUGUGAAGAGUGUUUUACGCAACAAAAUGGGUGACCAGUUCAUGAGUGAUUGCUUGAUUUGCUAUGUGGAGAAAGAUAUAUUUGCUACCAUUACAAAUGACGCCGUAAUUGAUCUAUUUAAGAAGAUGGGAGAUCGAGAAGGCAAGUUAUAA